AUGAGGUCAUCAGGGGGGACCCUAAUCCAAAAUGACUGGUGUCCUCAUAGGAAGAGGAGACUAGGGCACAGGCAUGGAGGAAGGCCGUGGAAAGGCUCAGGGAGAAGACGACCUUCUGCAAGCCAAGGAGAGAGACCUUAGGGGAAAACAUCUGCUAACAUCUCCAUCGCAGACUUUCAGCCGCCAGAACUGGCUGCUCAGAUCCCAUUAUGGAUGGUCUGUGGAGUAGUUGAGACAGAGUUAUUGGACAGGCUCAGUGGAAGGAAAUUUCCUUGUCUCAGGUUUUUCUUUUGUCCAGCCACCUCUCUAAACUGUUUGACUUCUGCAGUUGUUUUUCAGGGGGAAGAGAAUACUGAGAUGGAUUUAAUGAAAUUACAUUUUCCAAGAAGCCUCUUGAACAGAAUGAAGUUCUUCAUUUGCCACUAAACUUUCCUCCUUGACUGAGCUCACUGAUGGUUUCUUUAAUAUGCAGAGAAAGGAUCUCCUUCUGCCAUGAACCUGAGGAUGCCCAGUGGCUGACUAUACUUGCCACAAACAACUCCAAGAUGGUUAAUAUGAACAGAUAUUCCGAAAGGAGUUUGCCACUUUUCUGUAUCCACAAAGAAAAUGUACAUUCCUUACAGAUCUUUCUAUGUGAGCACUUUAGAAAUAAUAAAGGUAUCUUAAAAUUGAA